AUUUCGGUACAAGAUUAAAGACUGUCCUGUGCAUUUACUCAAAGAACACUUUCCAUUUGUAAAAACCAUGGGAACGAGAAAAGCAAAAAAUGGAAUAAACAAACAAAGGUUUCGCUGGCAGCCUUGCUCUGGCUGGAAUCCUGACCCUUGACGUUUUGCCAGCCCUGUAUUGCCUGAGUCCUCUCAAACACUGACGAAGAAAUUGAAAUUGUGGAGAGUUUUGAUGAUCUUUUGUUGUUCAAUAAACAUUAAUCUGCACA